rnacentral:rRNA from 1 species
CCCCAGUCAGGCGGGCACCCCGC